rnacentral:rRNA from 1 species
UACGAAGGGGGCUAGCGUUGCUCGGAAUCACUGGGCGUAAAGCGCACGUAGGCGGAUCGUUAAGUCAGGGGUGAAAUCCUGGAGCUCAAUUCCAGAACUGCCUUUGAUACUGGCGAUCUUGAGUUCGGGAGAGGUGAGUGGAACUGCGAGUGUAGAGGUGAAAUUCGUAGAUAUUCGGAAGAACACCAGUGGCGAAGGCGACUUACUGGACACAUAUUGACGCUGAGGUGCGAAAGCGUGGGGAGCAAACAGG